rnacentral:lncRNA from 1 species
CCCCCAUCGGGUGGGAAUGGAACCGGCCCGGAGCGAACCCCGCCCCCCCCCCGGAGCUCCCAGUUCCUCCCAGUACAAACCAGUAACGUCCCAGUAACUCCCAGUAACUCCCAGUGAGCCCAAAUCCCCUCCCAGUUCAUCCCAGUAGCGUCCCAGUUCAAACCAGUAACGUCCCAGUAACCGCCCAGUUCAUCCCAGUUCAUCCCAGCAUGGCCCCAGUUGAUCCCAGCCCCCUCCCAGUUCCUCCCAGUAACCGCCCAGUAACCUCCCAGUUCAUCCCAGUCCAUCCAAGUUCAUCCCAGUAACGUCCCAGUAACCUCCCAGUCCAUCCCAGUUCCCUCCCAGUCUAUCCCAGUUCAUCCCAGUUCCCUCCCAGUAACUCCCAGUUUGAUCAGUUCCCAUUCCCAGUCUCUCCCAGUUUGCCCAGUUUGAAUUCCCAGUCCCUCCCACUCCCAGUCCAUCCCAGUAACAUCCCAGUCCAUCCCAGUCCAAACCAGUUCAUCCCAGUAUGGCCCAGUCCUUUCCCAGUCCAUCCCAAUCACCUCCCAGUAACCCCAAACCAGUAAGCGCCCAGUUCAUCCCAGUAUGGCCCCAGUCCCUCCCAGUCCCUCCCAGUCCCUCCCAGUUCCCCCCAGUCCCUCCCAGUCCUUCCCAGUUCCCUCCCAGUCCCCUCCCAGUCCCUCCCAGUCCUUCCCAGUUCCCUCCCAGUCCCUCCCAGUCCCUCCCAGUCCUUCCCAGUUCCCUCCCAGUCCCCUCCCAGUCCCUCCCAGUACAAACCAGUUCCCUCCCAGCACGGGCGGCUCAAGCUCCGCCCCCCGGACUCCGCCCGGCGCCGGCAGCGGGAGGAGAAACUGAGGCACUACCGGGAGGCCAUGGACGCCUUACUGGGGGGCGCGCCCCCCGCCCAGGUGCUGUCCCUGACGGGCUCGGUCCUGGCCGCCAAUCCCGACGUGGGCACCUGCUGGAACCUGCGCCGGCGGGCACUGGGAGCACUGGGAGGGGACUGGUUCGUACUGGUUCAUACUGGUUUGGACUGGUUUGCGCUGGGAGGGGCCGGCAGGGCACUGGGUUGGGCCGGGAGGGGGCGAGAAAGGGUUAA